AUAAUUCUUCAGGGCAGGGUGAAAUUCCCUACCGGCUGUAUUUAUGCAAUGCAUAUAAGCCAGCGAGCCGAAAGGCAUGAUAUGGUGUGAUUCCAUAGCCGACAGUAAAGUCUGGAUGAGAGAAGUAAUAA
rfam:Eubacterium sp. CAG:156 genomic scaffold, scf223